rnacentral:rRNA from 1 species
AGAGUUUGAUCCUGGCUCAGGAUGAACGCUGGCGGCGUGCCUAAUACAUGCAAGUCGAACGGGAACCACAUUCGUAAGGGUGUGAAUUCUAGUGGCAAACGGGUGAGUAACACGUAGUUGUCCUACCCUGAAGAGGAGGACAACAUCUCGAAAGGGAUGCUAAUACUCCAUAAGCACACGGAGGUUAGAGGCUCUGAGUGAAAAGGGGUUGCCUUCGGGCAACAUGCUUCAGGAGGGGACUGCGGACCAUCAGCUAGUUGGUGAGGUAGAAGCUCACCAAGGCGAAGACGGAUAGGGGGCCUGAGAGGGUGGUCCCCCACACGGGCACUGAGAGACGGGCCCGACUCCUACGGGAGGCAGCAGUAAGGGAUAUUGCGCAAUGGGCGAAAGCCUGACGCAGCAACGCCGCGUGCCCGAUGAAGGCCUUCGGGUCGUAAAGGGCUUUUCUGGGAGAAGAGGAAGGACGGUACCCCAGGAAUAAGUGUCGGCUAACUACGUGCCAGCAGCCGCGGUAAAACGUAGGACGCGAGCGUUAUCCGGAGUUACUGGGCGUAAAGGGCGGGCAGGCGGAUUGCCAAGUUGGUUGUGAAAUCUCCCGGCUAAACUGGGAGGGAGCAAUCGAAACUGGCAGUCUAGAGGACAGCAGAGGGUCGUGGAAUUCCGGGUGGAGUGGUGAAAUGCGUAGAGAUCCGGAGGAACACCAGAGGCGAAAGCGGCGACCUGGGCUGUAAUUGACGCUGAACCGCGAAAGCCAGGGGAGCGAACGGGAUUAGAAACCCCGGUAGUCCUGGCCGUAAACGAUGCCAACUGGGUGUUGGUGGUGAGAGCCAUCAGCGCCGGAGCUAACGCGGUAAGUUGGCCGCCUGGGGAGUACGACCGCAAGGUUAAAACUCAAAGGAAUUGACGGGGGCCCGCACAAGCAGCGGAGCGUGUGGUUUAAUUCGAGACAACGCGAAGAACCUUACCUGGGUUAGACACCAACCUGGUAGCGAGUCGAAAGACGAGUGACCCUUCGGGGAGGGUUGGCAGGUGCUGCAUGGCUGUCGUCAGCUCGUGCCGUGAGGUGUUAGGUUAAGUCCUGUAACGAGCGCAACCCUUACAGCCAGUUACAAGUGUCUGGCAGGACUGCCGGUGUGAAGCCGGAGGAAGGUGGGGAUGACGUCAAGUCAGCAUGGCCUUUAUGUCCAGGGCUACAUACACGCUACAAUGGGCGGUACAGAGGGAAGCGAAAUCGCGAGGUGGAGCGGAUCUCAGAAAGCCGUUCGUAGUUCGGAUUGCAGGCUGCAACCCGCCUGCAUGAAGCCGGAGUUGCUAGUAACCGCCGGUCAGCCACACGGCGGUGAAUACGUUCCCGGGCCUUGUACACACCGCCCGUCACGUCAUGGGAGCUGGCAACACCUGAAGUCGGUGAGCGAACCGCAAGGACGCAGCCGCCGAAGGUGGGGCUGGUGACUGGGACGAAGUCGUAACAAGGUA